UGCUACAAGAGCACGUUAAAAACACAAUUUCAUCAGAGUGGGUCUUUUCUAUUUUGGUUAGCAGGACUGUAGUCCAAAUGUCCAUUCGAGAUAAUUCCGAUUCAUUCAAAAUAUUUCAAAUUGUCAUGGGAGUUUAACAGCUGCGUGACGGUUUUAUGACUAAAACACUAUUUGUAAAUAUCUUGAUCUGCUUAAAGUCUACAAUUCAAUCGUAAGAGCUUUUGGUGUCCUUGAAACUAGGACUCUGAACCUGGGAAAAUUGACUAAUUAGAGCUUUUAUUUUUAAUAUCUUUUUCUUUUUAAAAUUCUACUUUGGCAUGAGCAUUUAUCUAAUAAAAAACUCAAAAUCAGUAUUUUUGAAGCUGUCAAUGUGAUCUGUCUCUCUGAUAGUAGAGCAAACAACAGUGGAGGUGAGAGAAAAUGGAGCUGUGCACAGCAACACAGUGUGUCAAGCGCCGGGCCGAGUCCCUGAAGGAGAGAUUAUCCACUGCCGUGUUUGUCAGAGGCAGGGAGGGGGUCUCAGCAUGGGGCCUGCCAUGCCUGGGCCUGCCCCUACUGCCAGCCAGGCCCUUCUCUUCCGCUCUGCACAGCAGGAACUCUUGUACUGAACCAGAGGCCAAUUUAUCCCUGCCAUACUCCUCCAGCAAAAUGAUUUCUUUCAGUGUUUUGUCGACUUUUGGUCCCAGGGUCCUAAUGAGGUGAAAUGGAUGCCAGUAAGACCAGCGUGUCGAGAGCCAGCUCCAUCCGGAAAGCGUAUCUGUUCACACGCAGAGGUGGAAAAACAACCUAAAAAUAGGUAUUUUUAUCUUUUAAAAACCGUUUUUCUGGUUUUGUGCAAGAUAUUAAUGUGAUAUUGAGUUAAUUAUUAUUUGUGAAAAAUUAAAAAACUGCAUUUGAUGUCAGCAUAAAUGUUUUCACCUGCUUCAUGAGAAGAAUAUGUAAAAUAACUCACAAAUGUUGAGACAUAAACUCCCUCUUAAAUGAGAUAAAUAUAUCUAGCAAGAAAACAUAAAAAUCUGUGCAGCACAUAAAAUGUCAAUCAAGCCUUUGACAUCAAUAGUUAUUCUAGAUUUAAAACUUACAUUUAGGAUCCUUUAGGAUAUUGUAUGUUUGAUCAGAUAAUUAAGACUUUUUCUAAAAUUGACCCAUUUUGUAAAAAUAACUACUAAUUCUGAGUUUUCUACAAAAAAAUAGUGACAUGCUGAUUUUAAGCCUGUCUUUUAUCACAUUUUUAAAACUUUUUAAAAACUAGAAAAUGAAACCAUAUAAAUUAACAUUUGCAUGACAGAUCCAAAAAAGCUCAAUAUUACCCCACGUUUUGUAUGUUCAGUACAGAUUGACCAAUUGUAAAGCACGGAGGUGGAUGUAUCAUUUCCAGGGGUACAAAGUGCUUACCAAGCUAGUUCAGUGUUGCACUAUUACCGCUUUAUAGUAGUAAAUAUAUAUUGAAGUACUUUAAGACAUAAAAUGUAAAAGCAGUCAGACAGUUUUCACAAAUUUCAGCCUUUGUGUGGCUUUGGCUUUAAGUGUUAUUUGAGGUUGGCUCAGAUUUGGCAUUUUAAACCUUGAAAACUGAGCUUUCUUUUCAACCAGUGGGAACUAUCGCUAUCAUCUGCAUUUCUCAGCCCAACAACUCCAUUGAAUAAACGACUCAUGUUGUCCAUUGUCCAAACAUAUCAAUACAAAAAAAAUCUCGCCUGCGCGAGCUGCAGGAGAUAAAGGAAGGUCUCAUUUUUGAGUGCUUGGAUUCAGUCAAACCAGAUCCGCAGAGCUGUUUAUGUUCAUGAAACUAAGGGCCCUGAGCCAGAUAAUUAUUCCAAAGGCUGAGAAGUCAGUGGAGUGGAAGAAUCGGUAAGUGAGAGAAACAGAGGAGGACCUGUGACCAUUUUGUUUGUGCUGAGAGCGUAAGAUUGCUCCCUUGUGUUUGGCGCUGUGAGGGCCUCGACGGGCCCUCAAUAGUCUCUGUUCCAGUCCUACCUUCAAUCCCAUCUGAUGGUGACUUUAUUUGUGCAUUCAUUUUGUUGUUCUCUCUCUUUGACCCACAUGAUUAACCUUGUCAGUGAUGGCUCAUUUUGCGUGUUUUAUUGACACAUAGGGAAUCAAUGAUGAAAUGCUGAAAGGUGACAUUUGGAAAAGUUGUUUUUUUUCCAGCAAACCAGAGUGACAAACUGCAGCAAAUGCUGCAUUCAUGCUCUUCUUUCUGAUUCUUCAAAACAUACUCUUGUAUUUGCAAAUCGUUUUACCCACGCAGUCCUGACACUGCGUGCAAGAGAGCAGCCAAUGGAGCCGUGGCGAGGACUUUUUCAUAACGCUUCACGUUGGGAGAUGGCAGAUCCAUUGUUCUCAAGGCCCACCAGCCUGUGGGCGAGAGUCCCCGCUGCGUCUCCGCUGCAGAAACGCACACCAGCCUCCCAGGCUAUAUUUUCCUCUCUUCUCUGUGACCAUUUCAGUUCCCUCUCUCUCCCGCUGCUCCGGGCCCCGCUCCCUCCACGUUCCCCCCUCGCCGGUGAGCCGGGCUGAGGGCGAAGCUGUCGCCACACAGCCAGGAAGCAUGCAGCUGCUACCAUAAUAGCCCUAAUUGCACAUUUCUUUUGUUGGGCUGAAAUCAACUGUUGUGCUACAACACUAUCGAAACCCCAAAACCUCCAAGUAAAGAUGGCGGGGGGAAAGUUAAAAAAAAAAAAAAA